GGUGGUGGCAACGGAGUUUGAGGAGGUAGCUUGAGCUGCAGCAACCUAUAAGUGAUGGCUGGGUUCAAGACUUGGAGGAAGAGCUGGAGAGUAUUGACUUGAUGCAAUCUACUAAUCACUGGAAGGCAUCUCUUUUAACUGGAGAAAGCAUUAUAUGAAAAUGGUGAACUGGAGCUACGUGGAGUGAUCUGGAGGGAGCUGUUUUCUCUGGCUGGCCAGGGCAGCAGAGCUGGAAGGACUUGGUGACUGGCUGCGACUAGGACCUCAUGCAUGUAAUGGUUGAAGGAGGGUGAAAUCUGCACAGGUAAGCUGUUUUCUGCACUGCAACCUGGAACUGUUCCAAAGCAAGGUACAAACCCAGAAACUGGUCAUUUGACUCGUGGGGAAAAAAGCAUAGUGAAAAAAUGCACGUGGAAGAGGUAAGUGUGAACAAGUCUUGACUCUGGGAACCUUGACUCUGAUCUCUUUUGCCUCAACCAUUCUCUGGCAUUUUAAGGGGAGAGGCUGAUGUGGUUUCUUCCUGGUGUGAGCACAGACUGCUCGAUAGGGGAAAAAAGCUCUUGGUCUGGCUAACAAAUUUAGGAACAGAUUUUACCUCUGAGAUGGUUGUUGCUUUUCUGUGCAGCUGAGAUUAGGGUUUGUUGGGAUUCAGAGGCUACUCAUCUUCUUCCUGUUGCUUGUAAGUAAGCCUUAAAAACUAAUAGUGGUGAAGGAGCAGUUCCC
rnacentral:lncRNA from 1 species